GGGCUUGGGGCAGCUUACCAUGCAGUCGACGGUAACAGGUCCUUCGGGACGCUGACGAGUGGCGCACGGGUGAGUAACGCGUAUGCAACCUGCCCUGUACAGGGGGAUAGCCCGGAGAAAUCCGGAUUAAUACCCCAUGGUUUCCAACCUUCGCAUGUUGGUUGGAAUAAAGUUUCGGCGGUACAGGAUGGGCAUGCGUGGCAUUAGCUAGUUGGUAAGGUAACGGCUUACCAAGGCGACGAUGCCUAGGGGUUCUGAGAGGAUGAUCCCCCACACUGGGACUGAGACACGGCCCAGACUCCUACGGGAGGCAGCAGUGAGGAAUAUUGGUCAAUGGGCGAGAGCCUGAACCAGCCAUCCCGCGUGCAGGAUGACGGCCCUACGGGUUGUAAACUGCUUUUAUGUACCAAGAAUGUGUUCUACGUGUAGGAUUUUGACGGUAGUACAUGAAUAAGCAUCGGCUAACUCCGUGCCAGCAGCCGCGGUAAUACGGAGGAUGCAAGCGUUAUCCGGAUUCAUUGGGUUUAAAGGGUGCGUAGGCGGCUAUAUAAGUCAGUGGUGAAAUGCUGCAGCUCAACUGUAGAACUGCCAUUGAAACUGUAUAGCUUGAGUGCGCSUGAGGUAGGCGGAAUGAGUAGUGUAGCGGUGAAAUGCUUASAUAUUACUCAGAACACCGAUUGYGAAGGCAGCUUACUAAAGCGUAACUGACGCUGAUGCACGAAAGCGUGGGGAGCGAACAGGAUUAGAUACSCUGGUAGUCCACGCCGUAAACGAUGAUAACUCGCUGUUGGCGAUACACAGUCAGCGGCUAAGCGAAAGCAUUAAGUUAUCCACCUGGGGAGUACGAUCGCAAGGUUGAAACUCAAAGGAAUUGACGGGGGCCCGCACAAGCGGARGAACAUGUGGUUUAAUUCGAUGAUACGCGAGGAACCUUACCUGGGCUUAAAUGUAGAAUGACCGUUGCCGAAAGGUGACUUCUCUUCGGAGCAUUUUACAAGGUGCUGCAUGGUUGUCGUCAGCUCGUGCCGUGAGGUGUCGGGUUAAGUCCCAUAACGAGCGCAACCCUUAUCGUCAGUUGCUAGCAGGUAAUGCUGAGGACUCUGGCGAGACUGCCACCGUAAGGUGAGAGGAAGGUGGGGAUGACGUCAAAUCAGCACGGCCCUUAUGUCCAGGGCUACACACGUGUUACAAUGGUCGGUACAAAGGGCAGCUACCUGGCAACAGGAUGCUAAUCCCAAAAGCCGGUCUCAGUUCGGAUUGGAGUCUGCAACCCGACUCCAUGAAGCUGGAUUCGCUAGUAAUCGCGCAUCAGCCAUGGCGCGGUGAAUACGUUCCCGGGCCUUGUACACACCGCCCGUCAAACCAUGGAAGUUGGGGGUACCUGAAGUCUGCAACCGCAAGGAGCGGCCUAGUAGCCAGUGGAC
rnacentral:rRNA from 1 species